AGGACUCUACCUCCUUACUCUAAAAAGAGACAAGUCAAAGGAAAGAAUUGAACAUAACUUCUGCCUUUCCUGAGUGAACUGUGUUUUCAAGUAACCAAAUAGUCCUAUUGAUGAAGAAAAGUUCUUUGCAGAAUUCUAGUUCAUGGAUGUGGAAGGAGGACGUGGCAGGGAGGCACCAUCUGUGAACCAGAAAGUGGGUCUUCAUAAGAUGUUGAAUUCACCAGUGCCUGAAUCUCGGACUUCCAGCCUCCAGAACUGUGUUGAGAUCUUAAAGCUGAAGGAGACCAUGGUCCCUGGUGUGCAGGUCACGUGUGUACCUGGGAGAAGAACAUCUUCCACUACAGGUGUAGCAGAUAGUCUCUUGUGAGCUCAGCUUUGCCUGAGAGUGCCAACAUCCUCUGUCAGCCUCAAGCUUAUAAAGUUUCUAUGUUUUCCAAUGCAGUGGAGGCUCCUUUUCCCCAGGCACGAGUGCAGCUCAAAAGAGUUAACCCCUGGAAGCAGCCUUCCGUGGGUCUGGGAGCUGGUGGAUAAAGCUGUGGCUUCCUGUCCCUCAGCAGAGGAUUCUGGGAGACGUGAUGGAGCUCUUCGGGAGGUGCCUGUGGAGUGGAGUUCCUGCCACCCACUGCUGCAGCCUUGAUAAUGGACAGGGAUAUUGACUUCUUUCUCACUCACCCAGUUCCUCACUCCUGCUUCCUGCUGUCACAUGCCAGAAUAAACUAGAGCCUCCCAAGUCCAUCUCAGCUCUGCUUUCAGGAGAACAAAGUCCUGAAGGAGGCUGCUGUUCAGUGUGGUGUUGUCCAAGAGACCCAGUGUGAGCCACAUGCCAGCUUACAGAUUUCCAGCAGCCACAGUAGAAUCAUCAAGAGAAAUAGGUGAAAUUAAUCCUAUAAAUAUAUUUAAUCCGAUAUUCUCCCAAUGUUGCAUUUAACAUGGAACCAACGUAGAAUAUGAUUAACGCGGCAUUUUACAUUUUUUCAUACUGAGGCUUCAAAAUUUGGUGGGUAAUUUAUAAUUUACCCGUUAGGCCCAUCUCAAUUUAAACAUUAAAUUUGUAUUGGAAAUAUAUGAUCUGUAGGAAGAUUUCAUAAAACUUUUUGAAAAAGUAUAUUUCUUUACCCAAGCUAUUCUAAACACUUGA